rnacentral:lncRNA from 1 species
AUUACAGAUGGUUGCUGGGAAUUGAACUCAGGACCUCUGGAAGAGCAGCCUGUGCUCUUAACCGCUGAGCCACCUCACCAGCCCCUCUUUUUGUGUUUUUAAAGACAGAAUCUCACUAAGUUAUCCAGGUAGCCCUUGAAUUUGUGGGGCUCCUACAUUAGUCUCCCAUAGAGCUGUUCCACCUCACAUAACUCUAAAUUUUUGAGAUAUGGUCUUGCUACGAUGCCUAGGCUGGCCCUGAGCUCCUGUGCUCAUGCAAUCUUGUUUCAGCCUCCUAAGUAGCCCUGCUUAACAUGAGGACUUUUUACAUUGAUAAUAUAAAACUCUAAAGUCUUUUUUUGUUUGUUUGUUUUAAAGAUUUAUUUUUAUUUAUACAAGUACACUGUAGCUGUCUUCAGACACACAAGAAACAUUUCAUUUUUCUGCUUCUGUUUUCACACUUUACAGAAACUUUGUCUACUUUUAAAAUAUAAUUUAAUUAAUUAAUUAAUUAAUUAAUUAAUUUUUUGAUAUCUCAUGUACCCUGAUCUGGCUUUGAACUACGUAGCUGAGAUGGCAUUGGACUCCUGAUUCUCUGCCUCCCAAGUGCAGAGAUUAUAGGUAUGCAUCAUCACUCAGGACUUUGCUAUCUGUAGUAAGGGACCAAAUCAACUCCUAGAACCAGAGUGUAGGGGAAUUUGCCAUGAGCAAUGCUGCCUUUUAUUCUAAUAAUUACUGUGUGGGCUGGAAAGAUAUCUUAGCACACCAGUUCUCAACUUGUAAGUUGCAACUGCUUUGGGGGGUUGAACAACCCUAUCAUAGGGGCCACAUAUCAGAUACUUAUAUUGCUAAUCAUAACAGUAGCAAAAUUGCAGUUAUGAAGUAGUAAUGAAAUAAUUUUAUGGUUGGAGAUCACAACAUGAAGACCUGUACUCUAAAGAGUUGCAACAUUAGAAAGGUUGAGAACUAUGGUUUUAGUAGGCAGAAAGCACUGGCUGCCAAGUCUGCAGACUUGAGUUUGAUACUAGGAAUAUGUGUGCACAGUUCUUAACCAUAUGGCGUGACUUACACGGGACUGUGUGGCUAGUCUAGUUUCAGACAUCAGAGCUAAUGGGGACAUUUUCGAUUAAUGUGUCAACAGUUGAAGCUUCUGGAGAUUAAAAGCUCUGUCUUUUCCCCAUUUUUUAAAAGGGAGGCUUAGAAUAAUCCUGGAGUGAUAGGGGUGGCUAAUAGAUGAUGAGAGGCAGUGUGUGAUGGUGAAGUGUGGAUCUUCUCUAAUCUUUAAUUUCCUUCUGUAGAGUGGCUUUUAAUGCUAUGAAUUCAGAUGGGAAUGAACUAAUCUACAGAAUGCUCUGCACAGUGCCUGGGAAGUAUUAUACACUUAAUGAAUGAGUGUUAGUGCUAUUCAUGAUCUUAUGUCUAGUAGUGUGUGAGCAGAAGGGCAGAAGUAGAAUAUGGGGUGCUGUCUGUUGUUAAUUCCAUGAGAAGUACAUUUUGUGUUCUGAAAGAGUACAUCCUUGGAGCUGGGUUGACUUUCAAAGAUCAGUCAAGGUAUGUUCUUCAUCUGUCCAAAUCAGUUAAUUUCCUCAUUUGGAACUUUGUGUAGUACCUCUUUCCACUUUUGUUACAUCUGUAUGUCUCUCACUUUGAGUCCUGAUAUAGCCCAUUUCUUUCUUUCUUUCUUUUUUUAAAUAUACUUAUUUAUUUUAUGUAUGUGAGUACACCAGACACACCAGAAGAGGGCAUUGGAUCCCAUUACAGAUGGCUGUGAACCACCAUGUGGUUGCUGGGAAUUGAACUCAGGACCUCUGGAAGUACAGUCAGUGCUCUUAACCACUGAGCCAUCUUUCCAGCCCACACAUUUCUGUUAAUGCCUUCUUGCAUUUGUUUUCUAAAAAGCAAAUUUCUGCCUUGUUUUCAUUUAUGUGCAAAUUCAGGCUUUGUUCAGUACUCUGCUAAAGCUGCUGUUGCCAAGGGUACUCUAAUAGACUUUCUUGUUUGCCUGUCUCUCUAAAAAAAAAAAAAAAUUUAUUUGUGUGUGUGUGUGUGUAUGUGUGUGUGUGUGUAUACUGUGAUACUGUGCAUGGUGUGCUUGUGGAGGUCAGUGGACAAUUUUUUUGGAUUUUUUUUUUUUUUUUUUUAACUGUGUGCAUUUCUCACACAGAAAUGGAGACAAGCACCUUUACCCACUGAGUCAUCUCAUUGGCCCUGGUUUACCUGUCUUUACCGUGCUACUUUGUUUGACUUACAGACGCUUUCCAGAGACACCCAAGUGCUAUUUGAGUGCUGUUAAAAAGU